CUCCCCCGCGCGCCCCGCCCGCCGCGGUGCGGCCCGGUGCUGGGCGCGGCCGGAGAAAGUCCAUGUGAGCCGGAGCGCCGGGCCGCCGGAGCACUUCCUGCCGCAGGCCGGACCGGGCCGGCGCCCGCAGGUGAGAGAGUGUCGGCUCUGCUCAACACACAGCUUAAUUCCCUGCAAGCCUUCUGGAAGCGGUUCCCGGCUGGCCGUGGACUCGACGGGCUGCAUGGUGGGCCGCAGGCUUGGGGGCCGCUCCGCUCCGCCUGGGCCGACUGUUGGUGUUUGCUGAGGUUCGUGCCCUGUGUGUUGGCUCCGGACCCGUUACCCGCACUGAAGUUGCAGUUUUCGAGUGGAGGGCCGGGGGCUGGCGUGUGGGUGGCAGGCAGUCCUGCCUGGUGGCCGUUGGCAUGUCAGAAGGAGCCACAGGCUGCAUGGUCCCCGUGGACAUGGGGCAGGGGGCCACCCAGACCCCUAGACAGUACCCUCGUCAGAGCCCAGUGUGGGGGCCAUGUGCCAUGCGACAGACACAGGGCCCGCUGUCCCUCUGCUAGGCGACGCCCCACCCCAUGGUCCUGUGGCCGGUGGGGCUGAUGGGGCUUGGCUGUUGGUGCCCCGCCCGGUGCCCUGGGCCCUGGGGGGGGGUUGCUGGGUGCCAUCUGGAGGGCCUGGUGGGAACCUGUGUUUGUGCUCCCGCCUCUCCGAGGACCAGCCCGCAUCUGUGGCUCUCUCCUUGGGGCGGCAGGGGAAGGUCCCAUAAGCACAUUUUUGAAUUGGCAGAUUCUGGCAGGCUGCCCUUCUCUGUUUGAAAAAAAAAAAAAAAAAAAGGAUUCCAGGCAAACAUUUGUUAGUGCAGUUAAAACCGGCUUGUACGCGUGAUGCCCGUCCAGGCUGUGGUCUGGGCGGAGCUGCUCAGGUGCCUGGCUCAGUGUGGGAGGCCUCUGGCCUCCGCCUGUCGGGCUCUGCGAGCUUGGGGGGAGGGCAAGGGGGGUGGUCUUGGUGGGUGGGCCACAGCCAAGGACCCGUGUGACCCUGAGGCCUGGGCCCACGCCAGCCAGCGUGGAGGCUGAGGUGGCGCUCUCACCUCUGCGGCCCCGGGGCAGGUGCCGGCCUCCGCGGGCCUCUGUCCGGCCCGGCCAGUCCUCGUCUGCUUGAUGACUUGACUCGCC
rnacentral:lncRNA from 1 species